rnacentral:rRNA from 1 species
GAUGAACGCUGGCGGCGUGCCUAAUACAUGCAAGUCGAGCGAACAGAUAAGGAGCUUGCUCCUUUGACGUUAGCGGCGGACGGGUGAGUAACACGUGGGUAACCUACCUAUAAGACUGGGAUAACUUCGGGAAACCGGAGCUAAUACCGGAUAACAUUUGGAACCGCAUGGUUCUAAAGUGAAAGAUGGUUUUGCUAUCACUUAUAGAUGGACCCGCGCCGUAUUAGCUAGUUGGUAAGGUAACGGCUUACCAAGGCGACGAUACGUAGCCGACCUGAGAGGGUGAUCGGCCACACUGGAACUGAGACACGGUCCAGACUCCUACGGGAGGCAGCAGUAGGGAAUCUUCCGCAAUAGGCGAAAGCCUGACGGAGCAACGCCGCGUGAGUGAUGAAGGGUUUCGGAUCGUAAAACUCUGUUAUUAGGGAAGAACAAAUGUGUAAGUAACUGUGCACGUCUUGACGGUACCUAAUCAGAAAGCCACGGCUAACUACGUG